rnacentral:tRNA from 1 species
CAAAAAGUAGCUUAACCAAAGCAUUCAGCUUACAAUUGAAAAAUGUUGUCACACCACAACCUUUUUGC